UACGGGGGGGGCAAGCGUUGUUCGGAAUUACUGGGCGUAAAGGGCUCGUAGGUGGCCAACUAAGUCAGACGUGAAAUCCCUCGGCUUAACCGGGGAACUGCGUCUGAUACUGGAUGGCUUGAGUUUGGGAGAGGGACGCGGAAUUCCAGGUGUAGCGGUGAAAUGCGUAGAUAUCUGGAGGAACACCGGUGGCGAAGGCGGCGUCCUGGACCGAGAUUGACGCUGAGGAGCGAAAGCUAGGGGAGCAAACGGG
rnacentral:rRNA from 1 species